UUACUGGUAAAGUAAACAGCAUUCGGGGAUUACCCAGGGAAAACUCUCGCCAACGAAGUGAUAGUAUUAAUAAUUAGAAAAGAAAUCACUUGGGCUAAAAAAAUUAGCCGGCUAUAAGCAGAGUAAGGAAGCCUGCCAUUACUAAGAGAAUAAAAAUGAGUGGAAACACAUCAAAUGAAGGAAGAGAUAUAGCUAUAGGCGCUGGGGUUGGAGCAGUAACUGGAGUAGGAGGUGUUGCUGCUGGGAUACAAACUGGAGCUAUUGUAGGAUCAUUUGCUGGUCCAGUUGGGUUUGUGGUUGGUGGAGCAGUUGGAGCUGGUGUUGGUGCUAUUGUUGGACUUAUUGUAUCAAAAAAAUGAUAUCAAAUAUAUACAUGCAUGUAUUUGUGUUGCUCUUGAUUGUGCUAUCAUUGCUUAGUACAAUGUGUACAUGUAUAUGCUUAGUGUUUAAUUUUUUUUCAAAUAAACUAGUUAUAAUAAUAAUGACUGCCAGUAGGAGGAGAGAGUCAAAGUAUCAUAAAUACUGACGUCAGUUUAUACAUGUACAUGUACAUGUAGAUCACAUGAUCAGAUGAUCACGCCAGAUCCAAGAAUGCUUGACGUGGUCAAUAACACUGUGCUAGUAGACACCUCAUCGUCAGCAAAUCUAGGUCUUCCCUCCUGACAUUAGUGGCUAAUAAUAAUAUCGUGAUAAGCUCAGUAAUAAGAAUGUCCUCACCUUCAGAAUCAGAUGAAGCAAAAACAGUAAGGAAAGGUAAAAUAGUAGGAACAUUGUUAGGUAUUGGAGGAGGAGCAGGAGCAGGAGUUGGAGUGGGAACCUUUGGUGGACCUAUUGGCAUGGGUGUUGGUGCAAUAGUUGGAGCAGUGGUUGGUGGUAUUGGUGGAUACUUUACAGGAGAAGUUGCUGGAUAUAAGAUAGCAAAAAAAUAAUUAGACAAGGAAUAACUAUGUCAUGAUUGAAUUCACACAACUUGCUGCCUUUUAAUGAAACCCCUCAUAGCUAGUUAUAAAUGAUAUUUGUUUGCCUCCUUCACAUUAUUUGUAAUCUUUGCUGCUAUUCAUGAUAUUAAAUAUUAA